rnacentral:lncRNA from 1 species
CUCGCGUGCAAUAAAUGUUUCCGACAGAAGCAGCUUCUCGACGUGCACUUCAAGAAGUACCACGAUGCGAGUUUCGUGCCGGCUGUGUACGAAUGCCCCGCGUGCGGCAAGGGCUUCUCCCGCGGGACUAACAUGCAGAGACACUCGGCCAAGUGUGGCGUGGGGCCAGGAAAGCCAGCUGCCUCGGGGAAAGCGAGAAGAACCAAGAGAAAGCCAGCCGCCCCGAAAGAGGCAGUCCAGGAAGACGAAGCGGCCGCUAAGGAGGUGUCCGCCGUGAGGCUGGAGCAGUGCCCGGGAGACGUGGUUCCUGUCCCCUACGGAGGCGUCGCAGCUGAAGAAGUGACCUGUGACGGCUAAGCGACAGAGAUUCCGAGUUCCUGUUUGCAGCAGUCAGCUCUCCAGCAAGUUAGAAGUUUGUAGCAUCUUCUUUGAAACAACUAAGUUCAUGACAAUGGAGGCUCUCGAUUUUUCCAAAGUUUAGGGUUAGUGCCGGGAAUUGUUUGCCUAUUUUUUUUCCACUGGAUAGUUCAAAACCAUGGCAGGUAUUUUAUAAAAGGCCCAGAUCUUGGAUUGGAGGAUAAAACCUCAAACCUAUGAAUUCAUUCACUAGAUACUGGCAGGGGGGCCUGCAAUGAAUGGGCAGUAAUUUGGGGUGGGGGGGGACCUUCGUUAUUUCAGCUGUAAGUACAGACUGACUAUUUAGUGCUUCAGCCAACAGCCAAAGCUGGGAUACCUUAUGUUAAAUCGUACACACCCUUUAUAUUUCUAAUAUGAUUUUUUUAAACCUGAAAAACUAAUUUUAUAUUCUUUUUUAAUACAAAUGAAUUUCCCAUAAAAUUUAAAGUUACCGUAAUACUUUUAAUUAGUUCGAAAUUCAACAAAAAAGAUCUUCGUAUGGUGAAAAACAAAGCUGAGUAGAAGAUGGAAACCUCUAGAUUAGACUAGACGGUGACGUGUAAUUAUUUUACUCUGGUCUACGAGCAAGGUUCACUUUUAGAGUUUGUAUUCUUCCUAAAUGAUGUUUUCUGGCAGGUAUGAAAUUUCCCUGGUGACAUGCCGUUGUCACCUGCUAGGAUACAGUUCAUCCCCCUUUUGUUUUGCUAAACCUACUUUGUUGAUAGUUUUUUAAAUAAGGGGCCGAGUGAGGAGAAACAUAAUGAAAUGUGUACUGAUAAUGAAAUGUGUGUUCGUGAAGAAAUUGCACUCCGCGUGUCAUGCCCUGGAAUUGGUAUUUCUCCUUUGCCAGUGAAGAGACUUUUUUUUUCUCAGCUUCGAGCAGCAUAUGAAAUGCCUCUUUAGUACUUAAAAUUAACUGGUAACCAUCUUUAUAAUGAUUCAUUUUUCAUACGUUUCUUCUUAGCUCAGCAGCUGUGUUUGCUCGGAACGCUUCUCCCCCUAGUUUAAAACCAUCCAUGGGUCCCAAGUUCCGUUUUUUCACCUUUAUCGAGAAAUAAUUGGCAAAUACAGUUGUGAGGUAUUAAAAACAUGCAUCACGAUGAUUUGCUUCGUGGGUACAUUGUGUCAGGCCUCCCCCCACCCGGUUAACUAAACCCAAAUUCUUAAAAUGCCGAUCUUCAAAGUCCAAAAGCCCUGUAUAAAGUGAACAUACUGAAGCACUUUCCAGCCGGAAGGGCAUUAUCUUCUUUUCGUCAGAGCAAAUUCAUGGAGUUCACAUAAUGAGGCUUAAAUUGUAUAGUUUAUUAUGCGCUAUUGUGACUAAAUUUUUGUAACACCUUAUUUGUUGUUUAAAGCUGUUUUGCAUAACUCAAUAAAAUGAAAUGACUUAAAUUUCUGUCUUUGUUU